CCUACGGGAGGCAGCAGUGGGGAAUAUUGGACAAUGGGCGAAAGCCUGAUCCAGCCAUGCCGCGUGUGUGAAGAAGGCCUUCGGGUUGUAAAGCACUUUCAGCGGGGAAGAAAGCCUUGGGGCUAAUACCCUCGAGGAAGGACAUCACCCACAGAAGAAGCACCGGCUAACUCCGUGCCAGCAGCCGCGGUAAUACGGAGGGUGCGAGCGUUAAUCGGAAUUACUGGGCGUAAAGCGCGCGUAGGCGGUCUGAUAAGCCGGUUGUGAAAGCCCCGGGCUCAACCUGGGAACGGCAUCCGGAACUGUCAGGCUAGAGUGCAGGAGAGGAAGGUAGAAUUCCCGGUGUAGCGGUGAAAUGCGUAGAGAUCGGGAGGAAUACCAGUGGCGAAGGCGGCCUUCUGGACUGACACUGACGCUGAGGUGCGAAAGCGUGGGUAGCAAACAGGAUUAGAUACCCGAGUAGUC
rnacentral:rRNA from 1 species